rnacentral:rRNA from 1 species
AUACGGAGGGUGCAAGCGUUAUCCGGAAUCAUUGGGUUUAAAGGGUCCGUAGGCGGACUAUUAAGUCAGAGGUGAAAUCCCACAGCUCAACUGUGGAACUGCCUUUGAUACUGGUAGUCUUGAAUUAUAUGGAAGUAGAUAGAAUGUGUAGUGUAGCGGUGAAAUGCAUAGAUAUUACACAGAAUACCGAUUGCGAAGGCAGUCUACUACGUAUAUACUGACGCUAAGGGACGAAAGCGUGGGGAGCGAACAGGAUUAGAGACCCUAGUAGUCC